rnacentral:rRNA from 1 species
GACGAACCGUGCGAGUGUUGUUCGGAUUCACUGGGCUUAAAGGGCGCGUAGGCGGGCUGUCAAGUCAGGGGUGAAAGCUUUCGGCUCAACCGGAAAAGUGCCCCUGAUACUGAUGGUCUAGAGUGAGGUAGGGGCAUGUGGAACUUCCGGUGGAGCGGUGAAAUGCGUAGAUAUCGGAAGGAACGCCGGUGGCGAAAGCGACGUGCUGGACCUCGACUGACGCUGAGGAGCGAAAGCUAGGGGAGCAAACGGG